rnacentral:rRNA from 1 species
AAAUGAAUAGACGGGGACCCGCACAAGUGGUGGAGCAUGUGGUUUAAUUCGAAGAUACGCGAAGAACCUUACCUGGCCUUGACAUUGAUAGAAUCUGCUAGAGAUAGCGGAGUGCCCUUCGGGGAGCUUGAAAACAGGUGCUGCACGGCUGUCGUCAGCUCGUGUCGUGAGAUGUUGGGUUAAGUCCCGCAACGAGCGCAACCCUCGUCACUAGUUACUAACGGUUCGGCCGAGGACUCUAGUGAGACUGCCUUCGUAAGGAGGAGGAAGGUGAGGACGACGUCAAGUCAUCAUGGCCCUUACGGCCAGGGCGACACACGUGCUACAAUGGGAUGUACAAUGAGACGCAAUACCGCGAGGUGGAGCAAAUCUAUAAAACAUCUCUCAGUUCGGAUUGUAGUCUGCAACUCGACUACAUGAAGCUGGAAUCACUAGUAAUCGUAGAUCAGCCAUGCUACGGUGAAUACGUUCCCGGGUCUUGUACACACCGCCCGU